AUGGACAAUUUUGGUUUUGAUG
rnacentral:miRNA from 1 species